rnacentral:lncRNA from 1 species
CCAGGAUACAUGGAGACCUCAGACCUCUAGGAGCAUUUAACCUACAGUUAAAGGAGCUCUGAAAAACUCAGAAACAAAAAAGGAUUACCAAAGAAUCUAACAAGUUAACAAUAAUGUGUGGACUUGAGGCGCUCUCUUCUUUAAGGUCACUGCUAAACCAGAUGUGUGCUAUCACCAGAGACUUUAUUCUGUUCUAUAAUCCUAUUGGAAAACUUUUGGAUCUGUUCCUUAUCACAUUCUGGAAGGAAUUCCAGGAAACAUCUUUGAAACAGGGGAAAAAUGACAAAAGCAGAUAAAGAAUCUCAUGAGAGCAUUUUAGCGAAAAAAUAAAGAGAAAAUCCCACAUAUUUUGAGUAGUCUAAAAUAUCUUGAUUUUAGUUUGGGAUUUUUACUACGAUUGAGCAAUAGUACUAAUAAAACCAAUCUGCUGUACUUCGUUUGAUCCUUGCAAGAGAGAGGAGGUUAUUCGCCUAAUUUACAGACGUAUUAACUGAUGCUCACAGAAUGUGUUUCACUCAAAGCAGGUGAGGUUAAGUAUUCUGACUUUCUAAGCUAUUUCCACGUCACUAAUCUGCUUUAUAUAUAGUAAAACUAAAUUAUCUUUUUUAACACGAAGUAGAAUAUUAUGAAUUAAAUUAUGAGGCAAGACAAUAACCAAACCACAAAUCAGCACUAAAUGUUUGUGUCUUAGGUUGAUUGAAUUAUGUGAUCCUAAAAAUGCUCAGUUUAAUAUAAUGUGCCACCUAAUAAAACUUUUUAAAUUGAGGCUAAUGCAAAGAGAAAGCUUUAUUAAA